rnacentral:rRNA from 1 species
CGAUGAUCCCAGCUUGCUGGGGGAUUAGUGGCGAACGGGUGAGUAACACGUGAGUAACCUGCCCUUGACUCUGGGAUAAGCCUGGGAAACUGGGUCUAAUACCGGAUACGACCAUCUGGCGCAUGUCAUGGUGGUGGAAAGCUUUUGUGGUUUUGGAUGGACUCGCGGCCUAUCAGCUUGUUGGUGGGGUAAUGGCCUACCAAGGCGACGACGGGUAGCCGGCCUGAGAGGGUGACCGGCCACACUGGGACUGAGACACGGCCCAGACUCCUACGGGAGGCAGCAGUGGGGAAUAUUGCACAAUGGGCGCAAGCCUGAUGCAGCGACGCCGCGUGAGGGAUGACGGCCUUCGGGUUGUAAACCUCUUUCAGUAGGGAAGAAGCCGUAAGGUGACGGUACCUGCAGAAGAAGCGCCGGCUAACUACGUGCCAGCAGCCGCGGUAAUACGUAGGGCGCAAGCGUUAUCCGGAAUUAUUGGGCGUAAAGAGCUCGUAGGCGGUUUGUCGCGUCUGCUGUGAAAGACCGGGGCUCAACUCCGGUUCUGCAGUGGGUACGGGCAGACUAGAGUGCAGUAGGGGAGACUGGAAUUCCUGGUGUAGCGGUGAAAUGCGCAGAUAUCAGGAGGAACACCGAUGGCGAAGGCAGGUCUCUGGGCUGUAACUGACGCUGAGGAGCG